rnacentral:rRNA from 1 species
AUUGAACGCUGGCGGCAGGCCUAACACAUGCAAGUCGGGCGAGUGGCGGACGGGUGAGUAAUGUAUGGGGAUCUGCCUGAUGGAGGGGGAUAACUACUGGAAACGGUAGCUAAUACCGCAUACCAUCAGAUGUACCCAUAUGGGAUUAGCUUGUUGGUAAGGUAACGGCUUACCUAGGCGACGAUCCCUAGCUGGUCUGAGAGGAUGAUCAGCAACACUGGAACUGAUACACGGCCCAGACUCCUACGGGAGGCAGCAGUGGGGAAUAUUGCACAAUGGGCGCAAGCCUGAUGCAGCCAUGCCGCGUGUAUGAAGAAGGCCUUCGGGUUGUAAAGUACUUUCAGUCGGGAGGCGUUACCGACAGAAGAAGCACCGGCUAACUCCGUGCCAGCAGCCGCGGUAAUUC